rnacentral:rRNA from 2 species
GACGAACGCUGGCGGCGUGCUUAACACAUGCAAGUCGAACGGAAAGGCCCUGCUUGCAGGGUGCUCGAGUGGCGAACGGGUGAGUAACACGUGGGUGAUCUGCCCCUUACUUUGGGAUAAGCCUGGGAAACUGGGUCUAAUACUGGAUAGGACCAUGCUGUAGGUGGUGUGGUGGAAAGAUUAGUUUCGGUAAGGGAUGAGCUCGCGGCCUAUCAGCUUGUUGGUGGGGUAAUGGCCUACCAAGGCGUCGACGGGUAGCCGGCCUGAGAGGGUGGACGGCCACAUUGGGACUGAGAUACGGCCCAG